CUCCGCCCCAGUCUGCCCCAGCAGAAGCUCUUUACCGUGCCACCUGCAAGCCCAAUGCUUCAUCGUAGCUCAGGCCCUAGGCUUAAGGGAUCCCUAAGCCCUUCCCCAUCCCAGUCAGGUGGCUUCCUUGAGGUGGCCACAGGUGUGCCCCUUUAUCCUGCUGGACAACUCAUUGCUUAGGCAGCAGCAUUUCCUUGCUGCCUGUCUUCUCACAGCUGGCUCCUGUUUAGAUUCUCGGGCGCUAG